UACGUAGGGCGCAAGCGUUGUCCGGAAUUAUUGGGCGUAAAGAGCUCGUAGGCGGCUUGUCACGUCGGAUGUGAAAGCCCGGGGCUUAACUCCGGGUCUGCAUUCGAUACGGGCUGGCUAGAGUGUGGUAGGGGAGACUGGAAUUCCUGGUGUAGCGGUGAAAUGCGCAGAUAUCAGGAGGAACACCGGUGGCGAAGGCGGGUCUCUGGGCCGAAACUGACGCUGAGGAGCGAAAGCGUGGGGAGCAAACAGG
rnacentral:rRNA from 1 species